GCUGCCGGAUGCCCCUGUGUCUGACUUCUCUGACCGAGGCUCUCUCCAGAUGACUGUUAGCAGCUGAAACACAAAGUGGAACCUUGUCCUUUCUCUGGUUUUACUGAAAAUGGACAUUCUCCCCUGCCAAGAAUUUUCUUGCAAACACUCUGCAAUAAAUACUCAGGAGUCUACAAAGCUACCGCUGGUCUUACUUUGUCUGAAAAUCUGCCUAACCCAUAUUGUGAACCAUUUUUGUCUGAUUUUCAAAGCACCAGCAGAGUUUGAAAGAACAAGGUUGGAUACAAACAUGAAAAGCAGUUUUGGGAACUGAAGGAACUAGGUUGUGAUGCACGCUCUUGCUCCUCCUCCGCGUGCCCCAGUGCGGGCGAGGGAAGCGAUCCGGCCGCCGCAGCACACAGGAGCUGGUGGGCCGUGCCGGGGGCUGGCUCGCAGGCUCCCGGGUGUGACCCCGAUGCCCACACAGAAGCAGCCUGCCACGGGCACUGCCGCUAGGAGACCGCAGAGCAGCUGUCUCCGGCUUUCCCUAUUUAUCAACACUCGCAUUUGCUAAGAUGGUCCCACAUGACAACUGCAACUCCGAACUGGGAAGUACAGCUGCCAAGGCACGCCGAGCAACGGAAGGAAAGAGAAAGGGGCAGCUCACGCUCUAGAUGAAGGACAGCGUUUGUACAUCACUUUUUCAAAGAAGAAAGAAGGGACUGGAACAAGAUGUAAUUAAGAUGCGUUCUGCUGUGAGAGACUUUAAUAGGACCACCAGAGACUGUAUCUUCCUACCAUGGUGAUUCUGCAGGAAAAGCAAAGGACAAGGUCUCGGCUCAUCAACUCUGGGCUGCUAUAUGAUGCAAGACCACAGGUCCAGGUAUUCCCCUGGCGGCCAAGUUCAUUCGGUACUUCUAAAUGUUCCAUCUGGCUGCUUACCCAAAGAGAACAACAAUGUCUCUCUAGCGGUCAGGAGGUCCCACUUCACGGCUUCUCCUGUUCUCUGCCAGAGAACCUGUGCAGUCAGUGCUAGGCUGGAGAAAUCUCUCCUUUUCGCCUAGAGAGUAUCUCACUGACUCAAAACAGUACUACACAAAAAUGAACGAGGAAGAUGGAUGGACGGCCAUGCUUCCAGAAUCUCCUGUGAUUAUGACUUCCUUACAGUCUUCAAGGCUCCCCUUUGCCGAACGGUACGGGGCAAAGCCCUUCACGAUCUGCCUCCUGCCCACCUCUCCAGGUUCAUCUCCGACCCCUCUCCUCCUACGUUACUGUCUCACAGGCUGCCCCAGGCUGUGCCUACCCAUGUUAACGCCCUGCCUGGAAUGUCCUCGGCUGUCCUCCUGGCGGACUGACCCAGUCUUUAAGUGUCACUCUUGGAAAUCUUUCCUCAGGACCCCAUGUGCUUCUUCUUUGUUUCCACAGAACUUCAUAAACACACUAUUAUGUAACUAGUCCACUGUGGUACGUAAUUUUCAAUGUCUAUUAAGCACUGGACUCUUAACUGUUUAAAUGCAGAGGUAAGAUUUUUAUUUUUUUCCCCUCCAAUGCUUUAUACUGUGUUUGACAUAUACUAAGAAAUUGGAUGUUUCCUAAAUAAAUAUUCCAGCCUAAGAA